AAUACGUUCCCGGCCUUGUACACACCGCCCGUCACACCACGAAAGUCGGCAACACCCGAAGCCGGUGGCCCAACCUUAGGGAGGGAGCCGUCGAAGGUGGGGUUGGCGAUUGGGGUG
rnacentral:rRNA from 1 species